rnacentral:rRNA from 1 species
CAGUCGCCGCGGGAAUACGUAGGUGGCAAGCGUUGUCCGGAAUUAUUGGGCGUAAAGGGCUCGCAGGCGGUUUCUUAAGUCUGAUGUGAAAGCCCCCGGCUCAACCGGGGAGGGUCAUUGGAAGCUGGGAAACUUGAGUGCAGAAGAGGAGAGUGGAAUUCCACGUGUAGCGGUGAAAUGCGUAGAGAUGUGGAGGAACACCAGUGGCGAAGGCGACUCUCUGGUCUGUAACUGACGCUGAGGAGCGAAAGCGUGGGGAGCGAACAGGAUUAGAUACCCCAGUAGUCCCUGUCUCUUAUAC